UACGUAGGGUGCGAGCGUUAAUCGGAAUUACUGGGCGUAAAGUGUGCGCAGGCGGCUGAGCAAGUCGAGUGUGAAAGCCCCGAGCUUAACUUGGGAAUUGCGCUCGAAACUACUUGGCUCGAGUGUGGCAGAGGAAGGUGGAAUUCCACGUGUAGCGGUGAAAUGCGUAGAUAUCGAGAGGAACACCUGCGGCGAAGGCGGGUUGCUGGGCUGACACUGACGCUGAUGCGCGAAAGCUAGGGGAGCGAACGGG
rnacentral:rRNA from 1 species